GGGGAUUUAGCUCAGUGGCAUAAGCACCUGCCUUGCAAGCAGGUGGUCGUGAGUUAGAUCCCUG
rfam:Cavia porcellus supercont2_53 genomic scaffold, whole genome shotgun sequence.